GAUGAACGCUGGCGGCGUGCCUAAUACAUGCAAGUCGAGCGAAUGGAUUAAGAGCUUGCUCUUAUGAAGUUAGCGGCGGACGGGUGAGUAACACGUGGGUAACCUGCCCAUAAGACUGGGAUAACUCCGGGAAACCGGGGCUAAUACCGGAUAAUAUUUUGAACUGCAUGGUUCAAAAUUGAAAGGCGGCUUCGGCUGUCCCUUAUGCAUGGACCCGCGUCGCAUUAGCUAGUUGGUGAGGUAACGGCUCACCAAGGCAACGAUGCGUAGCCGACCUGAGAGGGGGAUCGGCCACACUGGGACUGAGACACGGCCCAGACUCCUACGGGAGGCAGCAGUAGGGAAUCUUCCGCAAUGGACGAAAGUCUGACGGAGCAACGCCGCGUGAGUGAUGAAGGCUUUCGGGUCGUAAAACUCUGUUGUUAGGGAAGAACAAGUGCUAGUUGAAUAAGCUGGCACCUUGACGGUACCUAACCAGAAAGCCACGGCUAACUACGUGCCAGCCGCCGCCGUAA
rnacentral:rRNA from 1 species